GACGAACGCUGGCGGCGUGCUUAACACGUGCAAGUCGAACGGAAAGGCCCUGCUUUUGUGGGGUGCUCGAGUGGCGAACGGGUGAGUAACACGUGAGUAACCUGCCCUUGACUUUGGGAUAACUUCAGGAAACUGGGGCUAAUACCGGAUAGGAGCUCCUGCUGCAUGGUGGGGGUUGGAAAGUUUCGGCGGUUGGGGAUGGACUCGCGGCUUAUCAGCUUGUUGGUGGGGUAGUGGCUUACCAAGGCUUUGACGGGUAGCCGGCCUGAGAGGGUGACCGGCCACAUUGGGACUGAGAUACGGCCCAGACUCCUACGGGAGGCAGCAGUGGGGAAUAUUGCACAAUGGGCGGAAGCCUGAUGCAGCAACGCCGUGUGCGGGAUGACGGCCUUCGGGUUGUAAACCGCUUUCGCCUGUGACGAAGCGUGAGUGACGGUAAUGGGUAAAGAAGCACCGGCUAACUACGUG
rnacentral:rRNA from 1 species